AGCUUUGAAGCCACGGGAUCGAACUGAUGAGCUUCUACUUCCAUUCCAAUGACCAUGAUUGCAUACUGAGCUAUGUUCUUGGAGUCAGCUUGGAGAAGGUUGGUUCCUUGGUUUUCGUAUCGGUGAGCUAUGUACUGAGUAAUCGCUCUUGAUUCUGCACAAAAAGAUCCAAUUCAUGUUAGUGAUUUUGCCUUCUAAUGCAGAUUUGAGAUUGAAGAUGAUGCAUGGAAAAGGUUCAUACCGAAGAGCUUGAGGUCUCCAUCUUCAAAGGCUGGAACUUGACCAAAAGGCUGAAGAGGAAAAAAGUUCAAACACAAAAGAUUCCGACAAGUUACAUCAAAACAGUUGGUCUCUUGUCUUACAACAAGACAUAGAUAGAUAAAUAUACUUACG
rnacentral:lncRNA from 1 species